rnacentral:misc_RNA from 1 species
CAUCGCAUGUAAAAGAAAUGGACGGAGUAUUUUCGUCAGAAUCCAUUAACUGUGGAUGUACAACUAAUUUUAUACUUGUGCCUUCAGGAUAUAAACUUUCCAUCAUUGGACUGAUUACAUGUCCAAUGUUUGUACUGGGAUCAUUGAACGGAAAUUCACCUAAACUUCGAACAGAUUUGAUCAUGUCAUAGAAAGCUCUAAGAUCGCAAUCAUAAAGUGAUGGUCUAGUUUUUCUCAUUGUUACAUUUUCAUACAAGCGUGUUUGUCGUUU